rnacentral:lncRNA from 1 species
AGCCGUACAGACAACCCUGGGAGCGAAGGGACCAAAGACCUCUCCCUCCUCGGGUCUCUGAACAGAGGCCACUCCCUCCGUUGGUUCCAGAGAAACCGACCCCACUCAAUGCCUCUAGAGCCGAAGUGCUCAUGGCCGUCCAGGACAAGGAGUUCCUCCAAUGGCCCAGGCCUAUGAAAACGGAAGCAAACCAGCGAGAUCCUGACAAAUAUUGUCAGUACCAUCGCACGCACGGCCACGACACCAAUAAC